rnacentral:rRNA from 1 species
UUAUAUGAGAGUUUGAUCCUGGCUCAGGACGAACGCUGGCGGCAUGCCUAAUACAUGCAAGUCGAACGCACGAAGUUGAAAAGCUUGCUUUUCGACCAAGUGAGUGGCGGACGGGUGAGUAACACGUGGGUAACCUGCCCAUAAGAGGGGGAUAACAUYCGGAAACGGAUGCUAAUACCGCAUAUUUCAAAUGACCGCAUGGUCGCUUGAUGAAAGGUGGCUUCGGCURCCGCUUAUGGAUGGACCCGCGGUGCAUUAGUUAGUUGGUGAGGUAAUGGCUCACCAAGACAAUGAUGCAUAGCCGACCUGAGAGGGUGAUCGGCCACACUGGGACUGAGACACGGCCCAGACUCCUACGGGAGGCAGCAGUAGGGAAUCUUCCGCAAUGGACGAAAGUCUGACGGAGCAAUGCCGCGUGAGUGAAGAAGGUUUUCGGAUCGUAAAACUCUGUUGUUAGAGAAGA